AUGAUGGUCUCUGUGAUAAAAGUGUCAACCCAAAUUAAAGGAAUCACCAAAGUAGAGUUGAUGUGUUCCAUAAUAAUGGAAGUAAAAAGGAAUAUUAGCAGGUUAUCUGGUAGAACACUUUGUACUUACAGACUCUUUCAUUGUGUUUGUUCAGGUUCUUGUCAAGAAAACCCAGUGAACCUCACGGUAUUCACUGAUGGAAGCUUGCUCUUAACCUGGUAUCCCGUUAACGCCUUCGCUACUAUGCAGGUAUUCCUUCAAGAGUGGAAGGUGGCUCCUACUGCGGCUGACCUCAGAGUGUUGCAAGUGUUCAGGUAUUAUUGUUGGGUGCUGAAAUGA
rnacentral:lncRNA from 1 species